UCUAGACCUAGCUGCUGUCGAAGCUCCAUCUACAAAUGGAUAAUACUUCAGUGUUAGUGUAUACGAGUCUUUGAAGGAUCAGAUCAAUACCCAACUUCUUGUUUGUUCUAACAAGAAGUUGGGUAUUGAUCCGUUCGAUUCAGUAGUGUUUUACUCACAUAAGUAUUUUUGCCAUUUUCAUUUCUUUAUUUCAACUUAAGAAAACAUUCUUUCUGGUUGGUUCAUGAUCGAACACCAUAUUUUUGUUAUGCCCCGAUCCAUACUGUAAUUUAUGUAUGUUCCUCAAAAUCGUUUUAUUUUUCUAUAUCAUUUACAGGAUUGGAAUUUGAUGUUCAAAAUUUGUAUCUCAGAAAGUCAUAAAGACGAAAUUCAAUAAUUGUGAAUGGUAGAAAUGGAAUUCUCUAUAUAGAAAGAUAUAGAGAGAGUAGGGGCGGAUGUGGCCAAGUGGAUCAAGGCAGUGGAUUGUGAAUCCACCAUGCGCG
rnacentral:misc_RNA from 1 species